rnacentral:rRNA from 1 species
UACGAAGGGUGCUAGCGUUGUUCGGAAUCAUUGGGCGUAAAGCGUGCGUAGGCGGCUUGGUAAGUUGGCUGUGAAAGCCCAGGGCUUAACCUUGGAACUGCAGUCAAAACUGCCUUGCUAGGAUAUGGUCGGGGAUAGUGGAAUUCCUAGUGUAGGGGUGAAAUCCGUAGAUAUUAGGAGGAACACCGGUGGCGAAAGCGACUAUCUAGGCCAUUAUUGACGCUGAGGC